GUGAGUCAUCGAAUCUUUGAACGCAAAUUGCACUCUCUGGUAUUCCGGGGAGUAUGCCUGUUUGAGGGUUGGUUUAAAUAACAAUCGAUAUGUUGCUUUUGUGACAUCUCGGAGUUGGGUUAUCUUAAUCUUUUAAGAGACCUAAAAUUGACAUACUUGUGCAUUUCGACGUGUAUAAUUUUUUUAUCUCGUCACCUAAUGCCAUGUUUUAUUAGGUGUGGCCAUUUUAAGUGGUUUCAUGCCUAUAAGAUUUUGAUUUCAACCUCAAAUCAGGUAAGAAUACCCGCUGAACUUAAGCAUAUCAAUAAGCGGAGG
rnacentral:rRNA from 1 species